rnacentral:rRNA from 1 species
AACGCUAGCUACAGGCUUAACACAUGCAAGUCGAGGGGAAACGAUAUUGGAAGCUUGCUUCCGAUAGGCGUCGACCGGCGCACGGGUGAGUAACGCGUAUCCAACCUGCCCACCACUUGGGGAUAACCUUGCGAAAGUAAGACUAAUACCCAAUGAUAUCUCUAGAAGGCAUCUGAAAGAGAUUAAAGAUUUAUCGGUGAUGGAUGGGGAUGCGUCUGAUUAGCUUGUUGGCGGGGUAACGGCCCACCAAGGCAACGAUCAGUAGGGGUUCUGAGAGGAAGGUCCCCCACAUUGGAACUGAGACACGGUCCAAACUCCUACGGGAGGCAGCAGUGAGGAAUAUUGGUCAAUGGACGAGAGUCUGAACCAGCCAAGUAGCGUGCAGGAUGACGGCCCUAUGGGUUGUAAACUGCUUUUAUAAGGGAAUAAAGUGAGUCUCGUGAGACUUUUUGCAUGCACCUUAUGAAUAAGGACCGGCUAAUUCCGUGCCAGCAGCCGCGGUAAUACGGAAGGUCCGGGCGUUAUCCGGAUUUAUUGGGUUUAAAGGGAGCGUAGGCCGUCUGUUAAGCGUGUUGUGAAAUGUAGAUGCUCAACAUCUGAAUUGCAGCGCGAACUGGCAGACUUGAGUGUGCGCAACGUAGGCGGAAUUCGUGGUGUAGCGGUGAAAUGCUUAGAUAUCACGAAGAACUCCGAUUG